GAAGAAGAGAAGGAUUAAGAGUUAAUAAAAUAAAGGUAAAACUGCAAAACAAAGCUGUAAAGGAAAAGAUACCCACCAUAAGAGUUAUCUGCCAAACUAUCUAUAAAUACUGCUACGACAACUUUUUAUACGGCUGGAGCUCCUUUUUGUUGUUUCUGUUCACAUUACUUUUCACGGUUCAACAUCUGCUCAAACCGUCCCAAUCUGAGUUCUCAGAUCAAUACAAGAAGCCCAGCCUCUUUCCCUGAACCCAGCGGAGAAAAACAUUUCUGCCCGCAAAGCAAAUCGAAUAUGUGUUUGGUAUUUUUGUGUGACGAGCAAGAGAGAGAGUUGGGGAGACAGCAAGCGCCUGGGUGUUGUCCGCACUGUGGGGGCAAGGUGGUAGCGGCUGAUGUUGAGAGUCGGUGGAGGUUCUGUUUCUUACCCAUUUGCUUCAAGAUUAAGAGAAAAUAUUCCUGCACCUUAUGUUCCAGGCGUUUGGUCUUGUAUUACUAGUUGUAGAUGGCUUUUCUUCUUCUUCUUCUUCUUGCAUGUUUAUCAAACUGUUCUGUUUCAGGAAAAUGUGAAAAGUACUCAAAGCAUUUGAAUGGCGGCCAUCGAAUGCUUUGAUCCUCAUAAUUGUAGAUGCUCUGCUCUCCAGUGAAGGGAACAGGCGGUUGUUUUCAUUUGAGGUCUGUUCGCUAUCGGGGGAGAAAAGAAUCAAAUAUUGUACCAACUCGGUGGUUAUGAGCUCUUUUCCUGGCCGUUCGAUAUGACAUGUUUCCUUCUUUCUUUUCCUCUCUAUUCUUCGGCCAAACACACCUCCAACUUUUUCUUUUCCUUUUCGGGACUCGUUUGCCAAUAGUACGGACUUGUCUUAUCUGGUAUUUUGGAGCGAGGUGACUGAUAUUUCGCUUUCUUGAUUUUGAUUUAAUAAUGCUGAAGGAACACUGAGUUCAUUAUUAUCCGAUUCCAGGCCAGGCCAGACCAGACCAAUAGCAAUGCCCUAUGGCUAAUAUCAUUAUUCCACUUGUUUUUUGUCCUUCUCAAAUUAGUUUUGUUAACACUUAAUCUUUUUCUUUUUAGUUGAAUGUUGAUCUUAAGAGCUUACAUAUUUGAUACUCGAGUUAUCGGGAAAUUGUUAAUUUGAUAUUUAGUACUCGAACUGUACUUUCAUCAAUUAACCUGCACG